CCACAGCCCAGAAGUGAUCCCACAAACUUUUGGUAAUUGCAUCUUUGACAACGGAGGUGAGAACAUACAAUGGAGUAAAGACAGCCUCUUUAGCAAAUGGUGCAGGGAAAACUGCACAGCUGCAUAUAAAUCAAUGAAGUUAGACUACUCCCUCACAACAUA